GAACAUUGAGCCUUGAUGUGUAGGAUAGGUGGGAGGCUUUGAAGCGUGGACGCCAGUCUGCGUGGAGCCGACCUUGAAAUACCACCCUUUAAUGUUUGAUGUUCUAACGUGGACCCGUAAUCCGGGUUGCGGACAGUGUCUGGUGGGUAGUUUGACUGGGGCGGUCUCCUCCUAAAGAGUAACGGAGGAGCACGAAGGUUGGCUAAUCCUGGUCGGACAUCAGGAGGUUAGUGCAAUGGCAUAAGCCAGCUUGACUGCGAGCGUGACGGCGCGAGCAGGUGCGAAAGCAGGUCAUAGUGAUCCGGUGGUUCUGAAUGGAAGGGCCAUCGCUCAACGGAUAAAAGGUACUCCGGGGAUAACAGGCUGAUACCGCCCAAGAGUUCAUAUCGACGGCGGUGUUUGGCACCUCGAUGUCGGCUCAUCACAUCCUGGGGCUGAAGUAGGUCCCAAGGGUAUGGCUGUUCGCCAUUUAAAGUGGUACGCGAGCUGGGUUUAGAACGUCGUGAGACAGUUCGGUCCCUAUCUGCCGUGGGCGCUGGAGAACUGAGGGGGGCUGCUCCUAGUACGAGAGGACCGGAGUGGACGCAUCACUGGUGUUCGGGUUGUCAUGCCAAUGGCACUGCCCGGUAGCUAAAUGCGGAAGAGAUAAGUGCUGAAAGCAUCUAAGCACGAAACUUGCCCCGAG
rnacentral:rRNA from 1 species